UACGUAGGGUGCAAGCGUUGUCCGGAAUUAUUGGGCGUAAAGAGCUCGUAGGCGGUUUGUUGCGUCGGCUGUGAAAUCCCGAGGCUCAACCUCGGGUCUGCAGUCGAUACGAGCAAACUAGAGUGUUGCAGGGGAGACUGGAAUUCCUGGUGUAGCGGUGAAAUGCGCAGAUAUCAGGAGGAACACCGGUGGCGAAGGCGGAUCUCUGGGCCUGUCCUGACGCUGAGGCGCGAAAGCUAGGGGAGCAAACAGG
rnacentral:rRNA from 1 species